UACAUUAUUGCCCUCUGAUCUUUUCCUUUGUGUUUUGUUCUUGUGUGUUUGUGUUUGGUUCAUCGGUCCUCCGGCUUUCACUCAUUCAUGUUCUGGUUAGGGCUAGGUCCUCCUGCUUUUGCUCUCUAAAUUGGUACUUCGUUUCCGGAUUUCACUGUAUUUUUGUACUUUUUGAGCCGAUUAAUCUGUCCAAUCUCAUCAUCACGGCACUGUUGUUACGGCACUGUGCAAAUAGUUGCCCACAUCAAUACCAGAAAUCCAGGUCCUUGAACGGCGCCGAAUAAAAUUUCCAUUCCCCUCUAUUUCUUUCUCACAAUCACUAUCUUCCUCUUGCUUGCCACAUUUGCUUUCCUCAACGCACUACGCUAGCCAGACCUCAAGAUGCCAAUCCGAAGUUGGGCGGAUUUGUUCAGCUUUUCAAUCUGAAACCACUAUUGUAAUCGGUAUUUCAAGCUUCAAACCAAACGCAGGAUUUGUCAUGGCUUAAUUACUGUGUUGGUUAGGGCUACAACAAAGCAGCUUCGUGAUUCGGUGGUUUAAAUUUGCUAUGGCUAUGAGGAUUGAAGAUCAGUUGGCUUCUACUUGCCACAAUUUUGUGUAUAUUCUACGCGUUCGAGAUAAAUACUUUCUUAUCAAUGAAAGGAACAAAGGUACAAAAGUGGGACAAGCAAUGCGUGAGGAUCAUAGCAUACAGUAUUCCGCUGAUUGGACUUUCAUCAAGAGGUACUUGGAAACUGGAAAGCAGCGCACUAAUACAUGUAUACGAGUUCGAGUCUUACAACUUAACUUUCUGGUUCAUCCAGACUUUGCAACACGGACUUGGUGAUAGAAAAGGAAUUAACCAGAUUGCUUAAAGAGCUUGUAUUCAACCAACCUGAAGCAUACGAGAUUAAGAUAGGAGAUCAAGUUUUUCGACGACGAGGAGAUCCUCCUUUUGAACUACUUCUCGAGAAGCACCAAAAUGACACAGACAGUGGAUAAUGCCAGUCCCAUAGAGGACAAUGGAUACCGGAAAGAUGAGUUGUAGAUUGAUUGAAAUCCUUUUGGCAUCCAAAUCAAGAGAUCUGAAGGAUUAUUUUGUGCAGUUCAUCUUUUUGAUAAUACUGGUUUUCAUUCCUUUCUAAUCGUCGUCAUGAAAUCGAUACUUCAAUUUCAAGAGUUUCUUAGAGAGUAUUAAGUCAUUGGAUUUUGUUUCUGUGUUCUGGUCUUCGUUAAGUCUGGCUCCAUUCGGUCCAUUUGAUUAUUUUUCGAAUUAUAUUUCUAUAAUGGAAUAGUUCAUGUGUAGUCAUAUAAAUAGAUUACAUUACGAUUCAUUAUAUUUCAAUAAGCUCUUGCUAUUUUUCUAUUAUCAUCACUGCAAAACCAAAAAUACUUCCAUACUACCAAUUAAUCCAAUGAGCACGUGAAAUCGUGCGGAGCACGAGCAUUACACUAGUAA